GGUAAAAUGGCCGAAGUUUAGGCUAUAAAUUGUAAAUUUAUAAAUGAAUAAUAUUCUUUUACUA
rnacentral:tRNA from 1 species